UACGGGGGGGGGCAAGCGUUGCUCGGAAUUACUGGGCGUAAAGGGCUCGUAGGCGGCCAACUAAGUCGGAUGUGAAAUCCCCAGGCUUAACCUGGGAACUGCAUCCGAUACUGGAUGGCUUGAAUCCGGGAGAGGGAUGCAGAAUUCCAGGUGUAGCGGUGAAAUGCGCAGAUAUCAGGAGGAACACCGGUGGCGAAGGCGGGUCUCUGGGCCGUAACUGACGCUGAGGAGCGAAAGCAUGGGGAGCGAACAGG
rnacentral:rRNA from 1 species